rnacentral:rRNA from 1 species
AACGAACGCUGGCGGCAGGCUUAACACAUGCAAGUCGAACGCACCUUUCGGGGUGAGGGGCAGACGGUGGUGGAACGCGUGGGAAGCGACCCUUCUCUACGGGAUAGCUCCGGGAAACUGGAAUUAAUACCGAAUACGUCCUGAGGGAGAAUGAUUUAUCGGGCAAGGAUGAGCCCGCGUUGGAUUAGCUAGUUGGUAGGGUAAAGGCCUACGAAGGCGACGAUCCAUAGCUUGUCUAUGAGACAGAUCAGCCACAUUGGGACUAAGAAGCGGCCCGAACUCCUCCGGGAGGCAGCAGUGCGGAAUGUUGGAACGUCGGCGCAGGCAUGAUCCAGCCAUGCCGCGUAAGUGAUGAAGGCCCUAGAGUUGUAAAGCUCUUUUAGUGGGGACGAUAAUGACGGUACCCACAGAAGAAGUCCCGGCUAACUUCGUG